GACGAACGCUGGCGGCGUGCUUAACACAUGCCAGUCGAACGGAAAGGCCCUGCUUUUGUGGGGCGCUCGAGUGGCGAACGGGUGAGUAACACGUGAGUAACCUGCCCUUGACUUUGGGAUAACUUCAGGAAACUGGGGCUAAUACCGGAUAGGAGCUCCUGCUGCAUGGUGGGGGUUGGAAAGUUUCGGCGGUUGGGGUUGGACUCGCGGCUUAUCAGCUUGUUGGUGGGGUAGUGGCUUACCAAGGCUUUGACGGGUAGCCGGCCUGAGAGGGUGACCGGCCACAUUGGGACUGAGAUACGGCCCAGAAUCCUACGGGAGGCAGCAGUGGGGAAUAUUGCACAAUGGGCGGAAGCCUGAUGCAGCAACGCCGCGUGCGGGAUGACGGCCUUCGGGUUGUAAACCGCUUUCGCCUGUGACGAAGCGUGAGUGACGGUAAUGGGUAAAGAAGCACCGGCUAACUACGUG
rnacentral:rRNA from 1 species